rnacentral:rRNA from 1 species
GCGCCGGUAAGGUGAUAUGAACCGUUAUAACCGGCGAUACCCGAAUGGGGAAACCCAGUGUGAUUCGUCACACUAUCAUUAACUGAAUCCAUAGGUUAAUGAGGCGAACCGGGGGAACUGAAACAUCUAAGUACCCCGAGGAAAAGAAAUCAACCGAGAUUCCCCCAGUAGCGGCGAGCGAACGGGGAGGAGCCCAGAGCCUGAAUCAGCAUGUGUGUUAGUGGAAGCGUCUGGAAAGGCGCGCGAUACAGGGUGACAGCCCCGUACACAAAAGCGCAUGUGCUGUGAGCUCGAUGAGUAGGGCGGGACACGUGGUAUCCUGUCUGAAUAUGGGGGGACCAUCCUCCAAGGCUAAAUACUCCUGACUGACCGAUAGUGAACCAGUACCGUGAGGGAAAGGCGAAAAGAACCCCGGCGAGGGGAGUGAAAAAGAACCUGAAACCGUGUACGUACAAGCAGUGGGAGCACAGGUUUACCUGUGUGACUGCGUACCUUUUGUAUAAUGGGUCAGCGACUUAUAUUCUGUAGCAAGGUUAACCGUAUAGGGGAGCCGGAGGGAAACC